ACGCUGGCGGCGUGCCUAAUACAUGCAAGUAGAACGCUGAAGGAGGAGCUUGCUUCUCCGGAUGAGUUGCGAACGGGUGAGUAACGCGUAGGUAACCUGCCUGGUAGCGGGGGAUAACUAUUGGAAACGAUAGCUAAUACCGCAUAAGAGUAGAUGUUGCAUGACAUUUGCUUAAAAGGUGCAAUUGCAUCACUACCAGAUGGACCUGCGUUGUAUUAGCUAGUUGGUGGGGUAACGGCUCACCAAGGCGACGAUACAUAGCCGACCUGAGAGGGUGAUCGGCCACACUGGGACUGAGACACGGCCCAGGCUCCUACGGGAGGCAGCAGUAGGGAAUCUUCGGCAAUGGACGGAAGUCUGACCGAGCAACGCCGCGUGAGUGAAGAAGGUUUUCGGAUCGUAAAGCUCUGUUGUAAGAGAAGAACGAGUGUGAGAGUGGAAAGUUCACACUGUGACGGUAUCUUACCAGAAAGGGACGGCUAACUACGUGCCAGCAGCCGCGGUAAUACGUAGGUCCCGAGCGUUGUCCGGAUUUAUUGGGCGUAAAGCGAGCGCAGGCGGUUAGAUAAGUCUGAAGUUAAAGGCUGUGGCUUAACCAUAGUACGCUUUGGAAACUGUUUAACUUGAGUGCAAGAGGGGAGAGUGGAAUUCCAUGUGUAGCGGUGAAAUGCGUAGAUAUAUGGAGGAACACCGGUGGCGAAAGCGGCUCUCUGGCUUGUAACUGACGCUGAGGCUCGAAAGCGUGGGGAGCAAACAGGAUUAGAUACCCUGGUAGUCCACGCCGUAAACGAUGAGUGCUAGGUGUUAGACCCUUUCCGGGGUUUAGUGCCGCAGCUAACGCAUUAAGCACUCCGCCUGGGGAGUACGACCGCAAGGUUGAAACUCAAAGGAAUUGACGGGGGCCCGCAC
rnacentral:rRNA from 1 species